rnacentral:lncRNA from 1 species
AGAUUGGCCAGUACAACAGCAGAGGGCCAUGUUGGGCUUUGACUCAGGAAUCCUGGUGGAGGCAAUGAUGAGAGAGAAGAGAUAAAACACACUAGUUUCUAUCAAUCCAUCUUAGCAGCAGAGCCAAGUGUUAGAGUUAUUGCUGCCUGAGUUAUAACAGCUGCCCUGGGAAUCUUGUCUGAACAACAAGUUAACUGCUGUUCCCAGUUAUAUCUGGUCUUUCCCACCCCCAAACAUACACAAAAGAUUUUUGUCAUUCUUGGCACUGGACAACAGAAGUGAUAAGACAUGCCAGCAGAACUCUAAAGGCAGAAUGUCCUUCCACCUGUUUUAUGCUGUAAGACAAACUUCCAAGUGCGAGGCAGUGUGGAGGGCUGUUGCCUUGAAUGGCAGCUGAAUGCACCAGCGGGAUCCUUGGCAGCAAUGCCCAGGCACUGAAGUCGGGCAUUCAGGAGAGCUAAAUGGAGAAAAGAAACUUGAGCAAACUGCUUCCUGGAACACUGAGAACCUGAAUGGGAAAUUAAGAAGAACCAGAUUCUUUCUAUUCUUCCACCAGCCAAGGUGAUGAGCACAAAAGGAUCCAUCUUAUACAGUGCUUGCCAGCUUCCAUAAUACUACUCACCACGAUGUUGAAAUCACCUGUUCCAGAACCAGUCCUGUCCUUUGACAAGAAGGAUUUAAUUAUCAGUAGUGGUGGGGACUGGCUGGAGAGAGGAAAAACACUUCAAGGACUCUGCCACCUUUCGUAGAUGGAGAGUGCAAAGUUUGUACCAUGGAACUCCUUCUCUAACAGUUACUCUGUGGCAGUGCCUAUUUCAAACCUCCCUUAACUUCUGAUUGUAUAGAUGUUUGUUUCAUUUGUUCAUCUGUUUGUUCACUUAGUCAGAGAUGUUUUAAGCCUUAAGAGAAAUAGUGGACUAGAAAAUGCCUUGGAAAAGUACAAAGUUCAAUCCAAGUAAACUGUUUUUAAACUAGGAAUUUAUGAAGCCUAAAAUAUAAAAUGUAUAUACAUGGAUAUGCUCUGAAGUGAGGUAGAGGGGUAGAAAUCAACAUUGUGAUAUUGUACUAUAGUUUUGCAAGAUGUUACCAUUGGGGGAAAAUGUUUGAAGGGUAUACGGGAUAUCUCUGCCUUAUUUCUUACAACUGCAUGUGAAUCUACAGUUAUCUCAAAAUAAAAAUUUAAUUAACAAUUGAUUACAA